AUCUGAUACUGGCAAGCUUGAGUCUCGUAGAGGGGGGUAGAAUUCCAGGUGUAGCGGUGAAAUGCGUAGAGAUCUGGAGGAAUACCGGUGGCGAAGGCGGCCCCCUGGACGAAGACUGACGCUCAGGUGCGAAAGCGUGGGGAGCAAACAGGAUUAGAUACCCUGGUAGUCCACGCUGUAAACGAUGUCGACUUGGAGGUUGUGCCCUUGAGGUGUGGCUUCCGGAGCUAACGCGUUAAGUCGACCGCCUGGGGAGUACGGCCGCAAGGUUAAAACUCAAAUGAAUUGACGGGGGCCCGCACAAGCGGUGGAGCAUGUGGUUUAAUUCGAUGCAACGCGAAGAACCUUACCUG
rnacentral:rRNA from 1 species